UGCAGUCGAGCGGUAGGCCUUUCGGGGUACCGAGCGGCGAACGGGUGAGUAACACGUGGGUGAUCUGCCCUGCACUUCGGGAUAAGCCUGGGAAACUGGGUCUAAUACCGGAUAUGACCUCCUGUUGCAUGACUUGGGGUGGAAAGAUUUAUCGGUGCACGAUGGGCCCGCGGCCUAUCAGCUUGUUGGUGGGGUAAUGGCCUACCAAGGCGACGACGGGUAGCCGACCUGAGAGGGUGACCGGCCACACUGGGACUGAGACACGGCCCAGACUCCUACGGGAGGCAGCAGUGGGGAAUAUUGCACAAUGGGCGAAAGCCUGAUGCAGCGACGCCGCGUGAGGGAUGACGGCCUUCGGGUUGUAAACCUCUUUCAGCAGGGACGAAGCGCAAGUGACGGUACCUGCAGAAGAAGCACCGGCUAACUACUUGCCAGCAGCCGCGGUAAUACGUAGGGUGCAAGCGUUGUCCGGAAUUACUGGGCGUAAAGAGUUCGUAGGCGGUUUGUCGCGUCGUUUGUGAAAACCAGCAGCUCAACUGCUGGCUUGCAGGCGAUACGGGCAGACUUGAGUACUGCAAGGGAGACUGGAAUUCCUGGUGUAUCGGUGAAAUGCACAAAUAUCAAGAGGAACACCGGUGGCGAAGGCGGGUCUCUGGGCAGUAACUGACGCUGAGGAACGAAAGCGUGCUGAGCGAACAGGAUUAGAUACCCUGGUAGUCCACGCCGUAAACGGUGGGCGCUAGGUGUGGGUUCCUUCCACGGAAUCCGUGCCGUAGCUAACGCAUUAAGCGCCCCGCCUGUGGAGUACGGCCGCAAGGCUAAAACUCACAGGAAUUGACGGGGGCCCGCACAAGCGACGGAGCAUGUGGAUUAAUUCGAUGCAACGCGAAGAACCUUACCUGGGUUUGACAUAUACCGGAAAGCUGCACAGAUGUGGCCCCCCUUGU
rnacentral:rRNA from 1 species